UGAGUACACCAAUUAACAUCUAAAUUAAGUGUGGAAUCUACAGGUACCCGUUUCUUUUUCUCUGUUUCUCUCCAAGGCUGUCACCUCCCUUUCCCAUGUUGCACUCAGGCUUCCCCUAGCCAGUCCCUGCCUGGCAAGGCACCCUGCUCUGUGCUGUGGGAGGCAGUGUGGAGCUGUGGACAUGUGGACAGCCUGUCCUCCAAAGUCCCUGAAAUGGAAAGGCAGCAUCUUGACUUAAGGGUGUGAUUUCAGCCCAUCUCUGCACCUCCACUGGAGGCCAAGUGCUGCUGACAUGAAUAAAGAAGUCAAAAGUCGACAAAAAAACAACCAGCCUGGAAAGAUUACAAGCUAAGGAAUACUGCUCAACAUGUCACCACAGUAAGCUUAUUUUCUGUGGAGAAACUACAACUACAGAACAGAUUCUCUGGAAGUGAUGGCGUUACUGACCAGCACAGCCAAAACUGUUGUUCACAGAGAGGAGACCCAGCUGGGAGAAGCAGCAGCUGAGCUUUUCAUUACGCAAGUUGUUCCAGAAAGGAUCGAACAUGCUACCUGUGAGAGCAAGGUCCUGUGCUUUUUCUCAGGCUGUGCACAAAGAAAUGGAGGCUCUCCAAACUUGCACUCGCUUGUUUAAACCACGGCCUUGGUUUCUGUGACUAAAAUAAUGCCGAUGGCAUAUUUACAUGAAUAAUUAAACAUUAUUAGGGAGAUAAUGGCCAUCUGUUGCCUCCUUUUAAUGGAUUUUUUACAAAGCACACUUCACUCUCUUUUACUUAUAAAUGAUGAGGGAAUGAUUCUGAGCCAUCAAAAUCAGAGGUUUUCAAAAUUGAGAGGUUAAUGUAUUGGCACCAUUCUGGCUACUUUCCUCAGGUGAAACCUCAGUUGUGCUGGAGUCAGCUCUUCAUUUUGCCACUGGUCUUGAUACAGCUGGGAUUUUUACCUGUGGAGCUCAGUGCUAACUGAGAGAGGUCUGAGGAGGCAAUUGAGAAACUGUCUGUGAUGCUUUGUUGUCUCCUGUGUUCAGGUAAAUAAGAUUUUGUGCAUUCUUCCAUACAGACAGACUGUCAUCUGAGAUACUUAUUUUCCAUUCCUACUCCCAAAAAUUCACAAGAUAUUGAAUUUUAAAUAAUCUGCCUCACUCCAAAGAGGCAGCGCUAGUUAUUAUUUGCACUUUAGUACUUUUCAGCCUUUGUUACUUAGAAGGACUUGUAAAAAUAGUAUUUUAAAAUUUAGUUACUGUCAUUUUCUGGGGGGAAAAAAUGACACCUUUUCUUUGGCAGUGUAAACUUAUCUUUCUUACUGUUUAGCCUGGUUGCCGUUAGACUGCUGACAUUAGUAAAAUCACACCAUUAUUGGGUAUUUAAGGAAACUUCAAAACUUCAAAACAAUUUUUAUGGUCCAGAAAAAGAAAUCAGAUGGAAAAAUAAUGUAAAACUAUUCAUCCAAUUGUGAUUAUAGUGCUUAACAUACCAUAACUGGUUGUCAUAGGGUCUAACUUGGGUUAUAAUUCUGAAAAAGUUACGUUUAUUUGUAAAACUCACUUUUUUUUUUUUUAAGUUGACUUUGUAUUCAGAAGGUCAAUAUUUUUGCAUGAAAGUCAAAAGAUUUUCAGGUGAGAGGCUCAUCUUACACCUUAUGUAGGCCCCGUUUUUCUCAAACAGCAAAGCAAACAAAGCAUACUACUCUGAAAUAUUUAACUUGUUUUAAAUUAUAAGCUACAUAUGUACUCCAACCAAUGACAAUAUUCCUGGUAGGAAUAUUUUCUAAUUUGUUUUCUAUUAUUACUUUUUUUUUUCCUGUGUGUAGGAUGUUUUUUUUUUUAUUAAGAUACUAUAGUGUUACUGAUCCCACGGCUAAGACAUUUUGAUUCAUUAGUCUGUAUUUGUAACUAAUUUGAGACAUUUGUCAUAUCAUUCCACAUUAACAUUCUUUCAACACUGCAAAAACAUUAGCUGACAAAAACUUUUCAUGACAAACAGAACUUAUAUGUAGCUUCCAUAUUUUUUUUACUGAAAUUGAAGCAUGUGCUUAAAAAUUCCUAGUCAUGCAACUGAAAAUUUGACUUUUGAUAUUCAGUAAUAAGCAAUAAUUAGUAAAAUAAAGACAGAAUUUCAUUACUAAAUAUUGGUUGUAAUUUUGUAAUUGGUUGUAAUAUUGAAGCACAUUUGAUGAAGUCUAUGACCAGGUAUGGAGAACUGCAAAAUUAUUAUUGUUGUUUUUAAAGAUUAAUAGCUAUUAAUAGCUUUUGUGUCACAUAUGAUCUUCAGUUAGCAAAAUAAAACAGAGUUCUUUCCCAGAA